rnacentral:rRNA from 1 species
GAUGAACGCUAGCGGCAGGCUUAAUACAUGCAAGUCGAACGGUAACAGGUCUUCGGACGCUGACGAGUGGCGCACGGGUGAGGAACACGUACACAAUCUACCUUAUACUGGAGAAUAGCCCCCGGGAAAACUGGGAUUAAUACUCCAUAGUCUUUAAUGAUCACAUGAGAAAUAAAGUAAAGCUUCGGCGGUAUAAGAUGAGUGUGCGUCCCAUUAGAUUGUUGGUGAGGUAACGGCUCACCAAGUCGACGAUGGGUAGCUGGCGUGAGAGCGCGACCAGCCACACUGGCACUGAGACACGGGCCAGACUCCUACGGGAGGCAGCAGUAGGGAAUAUUGGUCAAUGGACGAAAGUCUGAACCAGCCAUGCCGCGUGGGAGA